GAACGCAGCCUGUGGCUCUUCAAUAAAACUUUCCUCAGAGCAAACAAGCAGGCUCUAGAGGUAAUCACACAUAGUCUCUUAUUCCCAUUAGCAACCCCAAACAAGCAAGUGGCCUUACCCAAAUAGUAGAGAAGCCUAGGUUAUUUUUAAAUCUGCUCAGUUGAGUGUGUUUCAGAAUUUGUGAUUUCCUAACAACAAAAAGCUUGGUACCACUGUUGAAAUGACAGGAGAAUUCCGAAGCAGGCGGAGCAAGGAGAGAGAGAGGCAACCUAGGGCAAGGCUCGCAUUACAGAUGAAGGCAAAGAAGGAAGCCCUAUGUAGAGGAGACUCUUUCUGUCUUUGGAAAGUCUGAUGAAAAUCGGGUCUAGAAAACCAGCUAUGACUUUGGAGAUGAACAGAGGAAUGCAUUAGGCGGCUUUUCUCUCAACGUAUUUGGCUUCCUGUAUAUUUAAAAAUAAAUGUCUUCCAAACUAGCUUCGAGGACUGCAUCCACGAAAGCAGCCUGGCUGCAAAGCCCAGGAGGUCGCAGCAAGUCAGGGAGGUGGAGGCCUCUUGGUUUUCCAUCAUAUUUCUCUGGAGGCUUCAGGUGCUCCAGGAGGGCACCGCCUGCUGAGUCGGUUCAAGUCAACACGACACAGCUGGAAACCCCACAGCCUGGGCAGUUGAGCCGCCGCUGUGUGGUGGGAACACUGCACCCCCUCUGAGCUCCCGCCACCCAGCCUUCCCAAGCCACGCUGCCACCCUCCUGCAGACCUGGGUGAAGAGGGGCAAGAGGCUGUCCUACAGAGAUGCUGAGGGUGACAGCUGCAGAAUCACCAAACCUUGCUUGGCUGAAAACAAACGUGAAUUCCACAUUUUAAUAAAACAGAAAUUUUAAUCUUCUGGACACCUGAUGAUACAAGUCAACCUAUUUCUUCUGAAUCGCAUCUGAAACCAGGAGUUAUCACAUAUUUCAAGAUAAAACCGGACCGGGCUUUAAAUGUAUGAUAUUAUUUCAUAAUAAAAUUUACUUUUUAAUAUACCUAAUAACUGAAAACCUAAUGCUACAGUCCGCCAUGCUUUAAAGAGACUCACGUAAUGACCUGAAGGAAAAUUUCCCUCUGAGAUAGUCAUUUCUUGGACAACUCCUUUCAUCUGUAAAGGAGGAAAUGAGUCAGCUUUACUAAGCGUUAUCUCAUGAUUGGUGUUUUGUUAUUCAGUAGGCAGAGAACACAUUUUGUUACCUAUAAAGCCUGUUAUUACCAAGGGUACAGGUCACUACUGAAACCUCCUCUUCAAACAACUACAGGUACUGUUGUCAAAGAUCUUAACAGACUCUGAUUGGAAAAGCGCCUGGCUGGUCACAGGACUGCAUGACUCACCGCUCUGUUCAGCAUUAGCUAAACACAAAGCUGAAAGAACAGAAUCAGCUUCAUGAUGUCAUUUCUUCUCUAUGUGUCUUUAACAUCGCUGAGAUAUGUUAGAGGUUGUUGAGUAAUACACGAAGCUUUCAAAUAAGAAGAAUGUGUCUGAGAUACUUAGAGUAAGAACACAUUUCAGGGUUAUGUUUGAAUAUAAACAUAAUACAUGCUCCAGGAAUUCAGGGUUUGUGUUAUUUGUUGAUACAAAGUGUUCCGCAAGGUUUUAGAGCAUAUACACUAAUCACCUAGGUUGGUUAAAGUUUAACUCAACUGAAAUAUUUUGGACUUAAAGAACCACUUAAGAUAUCAAGUUCUCAGAACUGAUUGAAAAGAAAGAGCUCUCAUCUACAGUUACCUGAAACAUACCAAAAAUUUCCCUGCAAAGAUCAUAAAUGUUUCAGAAUCAAGGAGAAAUAUGAAUACUGUUUCCAUAUAGGUGGUGGGAUACAUUAGUACCUUUCUCUCUUCUUUCUAUUCUUUACAUAUAUUUAAGGAGCAGCCAUUGCUUUUCUAGUUUAAAAAAAAAGUAGAAAAAAAAGUUUUUCGUUUUUCUCAGUUAGCUCUCUAUGGUGAAAAACUCAAAAGCCAAAAUGAUGGACUCAGUAAGUUGACAGCCACCUUAAAUCUGUGUUGACACCUUUCUUUGUAAUGUCAGCAAAACUGUGUGACUGAAGAUGAGAUCACUGUUUACCUAGCUCUGCUAUUGGUCUGAAACGAGCAAGUGUGAAAGAAAUUCCCAUAUUUAUCUGUUGGUGUAACCCUUGCAGCAAUCUCUCCUAAGAAGUUGAAUCACUCAUUUUGGAUCUCACUCUGUCACCCGGACUGGAGUACAGCGGCACCAUCUUGGCUUACUGCAGCCGUGACCUUCUGGGCUCUGGCAAUACUCCCACCUCAGCCUCCCUAGGAGCUGGGGCUACAGGCACAUGCCACCACGCCCAGCUAAUUUUUGUAGAGAUGGGGUCUCACCAACUUUCCAGGGCUGAUCUGGAACUUCUGAGCUCAAGUGAUCCACCCACCCUGGCCUCCCAAAGUGCUGGUAUUACAGGCAUCAGCCACCACGCCCCGCCAAGCAAGAACUUUUGCCCUCUCAGUCCUCCACGAUCAGACGGAGUUCUGAGUCACUUUUAUGCCCCCUUCACACAACUUCACGCCGACUGUUUUUCCUCGAGAUACAGCCUCUGCUCCGUGCCCUGACUCAAUGCCAGCUCCUAACUUGCAGUUGUGUUCCUUGCUGUGACAUCCUAUAUGCUGAAUGUCCAUGGAGAAGUGUGGCUCACUUUAACCCGACUAAUUUCUAAAAAAUAAGUCAUCACAACCAAAGAUGGGCAUCAUGUUAAAAGACAGCUUUCAACACAAUCCAUGUAGCCCUGAGGGUAAUACAAGGUACACCAGGUACCAGGUAUACCAGGUGUUUCCCAUGUGUGCUUCCAGACAGAUUCCAACAGUCAGUCAUGACCAGACAAAUAUGUUUCCGAUAAGGACAUAGGCUUGAGAUCACUCUGAAAAGCAAGGAAAGUUGUACCACAGCAUGUUUAUAUCAACUGAUCUUGGACUUGGGACAGUUUAAAAGAGAUGAAAACAACAGAGUAACUUCAUUUUUUCUUGCAACUCAUUCAAAAUGUAUGAAUUUUGCAACUUUUUUUUUUUUUUUUUUUUGAGACGGAGUCUCACUCUGUCGCCCAGGUUGGAGUGCAGCGGUCUUAUCUCGGCUCACUGCAAGCUCCGCCUCCCGGUUGACAUCAUUCUCCUGCCUCAGCCUCCCAAGUAGCAGGGACUACAGGCACCUGCCACCAUGCCUGGCUAAUUUUUUUGUAUUUUUAGUAGAGUUGGGGUUUCACCAUGUUAGCCAGGAUGGUCUGCAGAAUUAUUUUUAUGCAGAAUUUUAUAUAGGCUACAAAAGGCCUUCGCAGGAUUAGAGGCAUUCCUCCUCUCUAGCUGCCCAAUCAGUCUUGGUCACCCCAGCCCCUCUCUCUGCUGCCCCCCACUUCACCCCGUCAAUGGCGAGUCCCUUUCUUACUCCUCCAAGGUCCACUGUGUGCACAAAGCAUCUUCCCAUAUUCAGAUCUGUUUCCAGUCAAACAGGUGACAAAUUCAUUCCAAUGAAAUUAUCUGUGACCGUUCACCUCUCCCACAUGCACCAACGUCUUAAGCCAGAGAAGCAAUACUUGUUUGACUUGAGUGAGUAAUAAAUGAUCAUUAUAAAUGGAAGAGAGAGGGUCUUCCCGCAGCCCUAGAAGUUUAAACACAGAAUUUUCCAGCUGCUUCUGCCACUUGAAUGCCAUGUAUAUAUAUUUUGCUGAAUAAAAACCAGGCCAAUUAUUUUUUCAGAUUAGUAAUUUUACCUAUAUAUGAAAUGCCUUACAAAUGUGUAACAUUUAAAUUGCAGGUACUAUACAUUCAAUUUUCUUUCAUCAAGUGGUGUAAACUCACUAAAAAUCAGUAUUAUCGUAGAAAACACAAAAGUCCUAGUAGGCAUCCCAAUCAGUAAAAGGGAUGGCCAUGAAAAGGGGAUGUGGUCAUAAAAUCAGCAACAGAAUUUUCCUGGCUUUAUUGUCCCUCAGUGAAGCUACGCUGCAAACCACUGUCACUGACGUAUGCUCCCCUGUUUCAAAGCAAACUUCAAUCUCCUCCAUAACCAUGCCCAGAAAAAACUUUUCUGUAAUGAAUGGUAUACUUUUGUAAUUUAAUACAAUUACAUUUAUAUUUUAAAAUAUUCAAUAUCUCAUUUUUUGUUGAUAUUUUAUGUCACAUUCGCAAAGCAUUUGGCACACCUACUAUAAGAGUGAGUGAAAAUUUUUUUUAAAAAAAAGGAAGGGAGGGAG
rnacentral:lncRNA from 10 species